rnacentral:tRNA from 1 species
GUCCCCAUAGCUUAAUGGAUAAAGUAUUGGCUUGCGGAGCCAACGAUGAAGGUUCGACUCCUUCUGGGGACACAA